CAUUCUAUCCAUUCAGAAUGUCCCUAUUCUGAUGUGCAUUUCUGGCAACGGAUCUGUGCAAAGCUCAGAGGACAAUGAGGUGUAAAACUGAACCUGACAGUUCCAAACCGCUAGGGAAAAGGAUAUAUGGAGAACCGAAAGGUGAAGAUCUGUUUGAGAG
rfam:Methanosarcina mazei strain Goe1, complete genome.